AAUGACAGAUUACGGCAAGGAGCAGCGCAAUGAGCUGGAGGCUCUGGAGUCCAUUUACCCCGACUCCUUCACAGUAUUAUCAGAAAAUCCACCCAGUUUCACCAUUACUGUGACAUCUGAGGCUGGAGAAAAUGAUGAAACUGUCCAGACUACCCUCAAGUUUACAUACAGUGAAAAAUACCCAGAUGAAGCUCCUCUUUAUGAAAUAUUCUCCCAGGAAAAUCUAGAAGAUAAUGAUGUCUCAGACAUUUUAAAACUAUUAGCAUUACAGGCAGAAGAAAACCUUGGUAUGGUGAUGAUCUUUACUUUAGUGACAGCUGUGCAAGAAAAACUAAAUGAAAUAGUAGAUCAAAUAAAAACUAGAAGAGAAGAAGAAAAGAAACAAAAAGAAAAAGAGGCAGAGGAAGCUGAAAAGCAAUUAUUUCAUGGCACUCCUGUUACAAUUGAGAAUUUCUUAAGUUGGAAGGCCAAGUUUGAUGCAGAGCUCUUGGAAAUUAAAAAGAAACAAAUGAAAGAAGAAGAACAAGCAGGAAAAAAUAAAUUAAGUGGGAAACAGCUCUUUGAAACAGAUCAUAAUCUUGACACAUCUGAUACCCAGUUUUUGGAAGAUGCUGGAAACAAUGUGGAGGUAGAUGAAUCUCUGUUCCAAGAAAUGGAUGACUUGGAGCUAGAGGAUGAUGAGGAUGAUCCCGACUAUAAUCCUGACCCAGAGAGUGAUUUGACUGACUAGUGGACUAUCCCCAUCUGCAGAGAGGUAUGACUGCCACAGCAUCUGUGGCUGUGCUGACGUGUUGAUUUUUCUUUCUUUUUUUCUAAGAAAAAAUAAUUUUCAGGAGAAUAUUCUUCUGAUAGCUUU